CCCUUCGGAAUGGGAAGGUGGUGGCGCACGGCUCAGUAAUASGCAGUCAACCUGCCCUCAGGAGGCGCAUAACCUCGGGAAACUGAGGCUAAUGCSCGAUAGGAUAAAGCGCCUGGAAAGGGCUUUASCCGAAAGGGCCUGGYGACCAUCCUUCGCCAGGCCGCCUGAGGAUGGGRCUGCGGCCGAUCAAGUAGUUGGUGGGGUAAAGGCCCACCAMGCCUAUAACCGGUACGGGCUCUGAGAGGAGGAGCCCGGAGAUGGGCCCUGAGACAAGGGCCCASGCCCUACGGGGCGCAGCAGGCGCGAAACCUGCRCAAUGGGCGAAAGCCCGACGCGGUCMCCCCGAGUGCCUCCCGGGGAGGGAGGCUUUUCCCGGCUCUAAAAGGGCCRGRAAAUAAGGGGAGGACAAGCCUGGUGUCCCCCGCCRM
rnacentral:rRNA from 1 species